UACAGAGGUCUCAAGCGUUGUUCGGAUUCAUUGGGCGUAAAGGGUGCGUAGGCGGCGGAGUAAGUCAGGUGUGAAAUCCCGGGGCUCAACCCUGGAACUGCACUUGAUACUGCUUUGCUAGAGUACUGGAGAGGAGACUGGAAUUUACGGUGUAGCAGUGAAAUGCGUAGAUAUCGUAAGGAAGGCCAGUGGCGAAGGCGAGUCUCUGGACAGUUACUGACGCUGAGGCACGAAGGCCAGGGGAGCAAACGGG
rnacentral:rRNA from 1 species